rnacentral:rRNA from 1 species
UACAGAGGUCUCAAGCGUUGUUCGGAUUCAUUGGGCGUAAAGGGUGCGUAGGCGGCGCGGUAAGUCGGGUGUGAAAUCUUGGAGCUUAACUCCGAAACUGCAUUCGAUACUGCCGUGCUUGAGGACUGGAGAGGAGACUGGAAUUUACGGUGUAGCGGUGAAAUGCGUAGGAUAAUCAGGAGGAACACCGGUGGUGUAGACGGCUUUCGUGGACCGUAACUGACGCUGAGACACGAAAGCGUGGGUAGC